UUAUACAUUUUUUAUUUCUAAUAUUUAUGCAUAAAAAGUGCUUCAAUUGCAAUGGAUAAUUUUCCAGAUAUGCAAAUACAUUAUAGAUACAUGUAUAUACACAAAUUAUAUAUCUAUACAAUAUAAUAUUAUUCUGUGCAAAAUAGCAAAGUAAUAUACACCCAGCUUUUUAUACAAGAGAAUGUACUGAUAAAAUCAUAAUUAAGAAAAAUCAAUAAAAAACAAGCUUUUAAUACGUAAUGUAGUCACUAUUAUAGUGAAAUUCUUUGGUCAGACGAUACUAACCAAUUAGGUCAUGGUAUGAUUGUUGGUUUAGAGAUUUCAAGUCAAUGUAAGAACACUUUUAGUAGAUCUGUGUUGUUCCAUGCGCUUAGGAGCACCCCAACGCAAUAUACAAUGUGUGGAGCCAUGGUCAUAUUUCCCUUAACAUGAGAAAUAAAGAGAGUAUUCAAGGCUGAUAAUAUUAUUUUAAUAUAUAAUAGAAUAAAAUGAAACCAUCAAAAUGCUGAAAACUUCAAAUUCUGAUAACAAAUAAGUUAUUAGUACAGAAGAUGUUGAUCAUCGAGGUAGUAGAGAAUGACUAUAGGAGUUUAGGAGUUGAUCUGUCGUCUCACGGUUGCAGCAGCGAUUGUCCACAUUGCCUGACGAAGACUGCACGUAGCAGGAGCAGUCGAAACGUCGAAAUAAUCGUUUGAUUUAUCGUGAGACAACAGAUCAACUCCUAAACUCCUAUAGUGAUUCUCUACUAAUAACAAGUAAUUAAAAUAAGUUAUCUUAGUGAAACAGCUGUAUGCACUAAGUGGGCGGAAGAUAUCACGUCCUCAUUCCUUCCCUUUCAUAUUUUAUAAUAAUAUAACAUCUUAUUAUUUUUUCCCUCAUAUAUGUGUAUUGAAGUAUCUCUCCAUUGUAAAAAAAAACUAAAGUUAAAGCAAUACUUUCACACAAUGGGUCAAUAAUCAAUCCUUUUUAAAACAUUUUUAGGUCAGAAAAUUGAAAUCAUGUAAGAAAAAUUAAAAAGUGGGGAUGACAUCAUCAAUUCUCUCAGCACAUAUUUCUACUUAGAACUGCUUGAUCAAAGUAAUGAUUUUCUUUUUAAUUUGCAUCAAAUUUGAUGAAAUACAGGUUUUGCUUGUCUACUUUUACUCCAUUUAUUCACAUUAUUUUCAGCCUGGAGUAACCCCUUUAAUCAGUAGUGAUGUGAGUGUUCUUACAUUGACUUGAUAAAUGUAAAUGCUAUGGCAGGAAAGGAGCUUAUCUGAAGAGGAAGACUUGUCAGAAAGUAGGCCAAAUUUGAUCCAAAAUAUGUUUCUAGGAUUACAGGGGAUGCAUUAAAACAGUCAUUUAAAUACGGAACCUAGUCUCGUCUUGGGUGUGAAUUAGUAUCAACUAUGGAAAGCAAACAAUGACAUAAUUCAUUACAUUUUAACUGCUAAGCCUAAGUACAACAAUGUUAGCAUUCAGCUGUAACAGUUCUCUAGAGAUUGGUCAAUGUAAACAGAUGUGCCUUAUACCUAGAAGACGUAUAAGUGCAUUAGUCUAAAAACAUCGUUUUUGUUGUUGCUAGAGGAUAUAACUGUCUGUGCGGGCAGGAAGGAAAAAGCUAGGCAAAUCAGUGCAUACUUACAAUGCAGGAAGGACUAAUCCAAACAUAGAGGAAAUUACAAUGACGCAUUACUCAUAACUGGAAGCAUUUUAGAGAGUUAUUUCAUGGUUGGCAAUUCAAUAAGUUUGAUAAUCAGCAACAAUUUAGUACAAUAUAUCAAGAUCAAAACAACUCUCAUCCGCGAUGUAUCUUUGACACAAAGACAACACUGAAUUUGUUGAACCAUCAAUAUGUACUGUACAGUGAUGUAAAGGCCUGGUCACACUGCCCGAGUGUUGUUGCAGUGGUCGUGGAGCGGAAGAGAGAGGGGGUCGAAUUUCACUCACAAAAUUGGGGGAAAAAAUAAAAAACAAAAAUCGAAAACAAAAUAAAAACAAACGAAAUCGAAAAUGGUGAACGGGAGCGAGCGGUGAUGAUUUUUUUCUAUCCGCUCCACGACCGCUCCAACAACGUUCAGGCGGUGUGACCAGGCCUAUAGUAACAGAAAUAACCAAAUUUCAAUGAAUGUACAUUUAUGAGGGGGUGGUGGAGAAAGGAAAUGAAAUACAUGUAUACUACUGCAGCACUUUAGUAGUAAACAAAAUAAAUAGGAGAAAAGGAAAUCCUAACAUAUUCUUGCACAAUAUAACACUAUUCUAUGUGAUAUGCAAGAAGAUACCGGCUCCUUACAGCCUCAUUUUACACAGGUAUUGAUAAAAAGAAUGAAAUUCAAUCUGAAAAAGUCUGAUUUUCUAGUAACGAAUGCACAUUUUAAGGGAUUCAAAUUCUAACGUAAUACAUGAUUGUCUUAGAUAAAAGCACCAUACACAUUCAUUCUGUACAAGUUUUUCUCUUACAACUACAUUUUGAAAUACUCUUUAAUGAUUCCAUUACUUACAAAAAGCUAUAAGAAAACACAAACAGUGAAAGUUUAGAUUUGCUGAGAAGUGUAAAUAAUUUUUUUAGCCCAUUAACAAUAAUUGACACUCUUAUUCUUUGUACUUUGAAUAGGUAAAAGCAAAUAUCCAGUAGUUAAUGGAAAACUUAUUAACAAAGUUGUCCAAUUUCAACAUAAAAUUUAUCUUACAUUCCAAUUGAUAUUGUCUAUUUCUCAUGUUAAAACCAAAUUAAUAAGAUCUUCAUAAUUCUAAUAGGAAAUCCAUAUAAUUUACAAAUAUGUACAAUGCAAUGCAUGUAGAUCUAUAUCUAAUCAUCAGUACAAAAUACCUUCAUUAAAUACCAUCUUGUGAAAUUUACAAUUUGAAUAGAAUUCUCAUUCUCUCAAAAUACAGCUUCAACAAUUUUGAUGCAAUUUUUUAUCAAAUUUUCAAUUAGUAGAAAAAAUAUAUUGUUACUAUAAAGGCAUCAACUAUUUCUGUAUAUUCAAGCCAAUUAAAACAGCAGCCAUAAGAAUAUUACAAAUUCUUUUAAAAAGCCAGUUUGAUAUAAAAUUAGAGGGUAGGUCAUUUCAUUUUGUGUAGAUACUUCUUUUGCCAAGAUAGCGCACAAUAUUUGGUGGCUAAUGCCUAAGCCUGCCAUUGUUAAUAUCAGUGUCAUAUUUAACUAGUUGUAAAGGGUGUAUCUAUGAAAAAGAAACCCAUCAUUCAUUAUUGUUUGUUUAGAAACUAUCAAAUUCAGAAUUGUGGGAUUCGUAUCACUCAAAAAUUACUCUCAUCAAUCAGCAUUAAAUACCUGAAUUGGGUUUCUAGGACCAAGUUUCACUGAACACCAGUGUUCUAAAAACGUGGUGUCAAAAUCCCAGGUGGUUCACUAUCACUGCUCACUGAGUCGCUAUGGUGUGAGUGUGUGCAUAUGAACAAUGUUAUUAUGCAACAUCAAAAUUGCUUUUUAAAUUGUUUGAAUUGAACUUCAUCAAUAUGUAAGAAACAAUAGGUUCAUAAGUCAACGCAAACAGUUUAUGUGACAAAAAAUCUGGUAAAGUAUUUUUAUAUUCUUUUUCCUCUCAAUUUUCGAUUGUUCAUUGUGCCCACUGUGUUAAGACCACAAGUGAACAAAGUGUAACACAUUGUAUAACAAAGUGUAAUGCAUCAUAUAAUGAAUACAAUAGUGUUCAGUGAUACAUGGUCCUAAGCACCAUCAUGCUUCUAUUUGAAUGUAAAUAAAGUCAUUACAAGAAAUGUUAUAAGCAUUUCUAUUUGCCAUUUUGAGGGUAGAACAUUUCUUAUAGGAGUCUAUCUCAUACAUGGGUUGUUACAUUAUAUAACCAUAAAAUUAUUAUCCUUAAUUUCUAGAAUAAAAUGACAUUGCUUCCAUUUACAGCUUGACAGACAUUG